rnacentral:rRNA from 1 species
GAUGAACGCUGGCGGCGUGCCUAAUACAUGCAAGUCGAGCGAACAGACGAGGAGCUUGCUCCUCUGACGUUAGCGGCGGACGGGUGAGUAACACGUGGAUAACCUACCUAUAAGACUGGGAUAACUUCGGGAAACCGGAGCUAAUACCGGAUAACAUGUUGAACCGCAUGGUUCAACAGUGAAAGACGGUCUUGCUGUCACUUAUAGAUGGAUCCGCGCCGCAUUAGCUAGUUGGUAAGGUAACGGCUUACCAAGGCAACGAUGCGUAGCCGACCUGAGAGGGUGAUCGGCCACACUGGAACUGAGACACGGUCCAGACUCCUACGGGAGGCAGCAGUAGGGAAUCUUCCGCAAUGGGCGAAAGCCUGACGGAGCAACGCCGCGUGAGUGAUGAAGGUCUUCGGAUCGUAAAACUCUGUUAUUAGGGAAGAACAAAUGUGUAAGUAACUAUGCACGUCUUGACGGUACCUAAUCAGAAAGCCGCGGCUAACUACGUG